AUUGAACGCUGGCGGCAUGCUUUACACAUGCAAGUCGAACGGUAGAGGGGCAACCCUUGAGAGUGGCGAACGGGUGAGUAAUGCAUCGGAACGUGCCCAGUAGUGGGGGAUAGCCCGGCGAAAGCCGGAUUAAUACCGCAUGAGACCUGAGGGUGAAAGCGGGGGACUCGAAAGGGCCUCGCGCUAUUGGAACGGCCGAUGUCAGGUUAGCUAGUUGGUGGGGUAAAGGCCUACCAAGGCGACGAUCUGUAGCUGGUCUGAGAGGACGACCAGCGACACUGGGCCUGAGACACGGACCAGACUCCUACGGGGGGCAGCGGUGGGGAAUGUUGGACAAUGGGCGCAAGCCUGAUCCAGCCAUGCCGCGUGCGGGAAGAAGGCCUUCGGGUUGUAAACCGCUUUUGUCAGGGAAGAAAUCUUCUGGGUUAAUACCCUGGGAGGAUGACGGUACCUGAAGAAUAAGCACCGGCUAACUACGUGCCAGCAGCCGCCGUAAUAC
rnacentral:rRNA from 1 species